rnacentral:rRNA from 1 species
GACGAACGCUGGCGGCGUGCUUAACACAUGCAAGUCGAACGGAAAGGCCCUGCUUUUGUGGGGUGCUCGAGUGGCGAACGGGUGAGUAACACGUGAGUAACCUGCCCUUGACUUUGGGAUAACUUCAGGAAACUGGGGCUAAUACCGGAUAGGAGCUCCUGCUGCAUGGUGGGGGUUGGAAAGUUUCGGCUGUUGGGGAUGGACUCGCGGCUUAUCAGCUUGUUGGUGGGGUAGUGGCUUACCAAGGCUUUGACGGGUAGCCGGCCUGAGAGGGUGACCGGCCACAUUAGUACUGAGAUACGGCCCAGACUCCUACGGGAGGCAGCAGUGGGGAAUAUUGCACAAUGGGCGGAAGCCUGAUGCAGCAACGCCGCGUGCGGGAUGACGGCCUUCGGGUUGUAAACCGCUUUCGCCUGUGACGAAGCGUGAGUGACGGUAAUGAGUAAAGAAGCACCGGCUAACUACGUG